rnacentral:rRNA from 1 species
AGCGAACAUUGGCGGUAGGCUUAACACAUGCAAGUCGAGCGAGGCGUAAUAGUCGAGCGGCGAACGGGUGAGUAAUACAUGGGAAUCUACCUCGAAGUGGGGAUAACGUUCAGAAAUGGACGCUAAUACCGCAUAAUCCGGGAACGGGAAAGCGCGCUGCGCUUUGAGAUGAGCCCAUGGCUGAUUAGCUAGUUGGUGGGGUAAAGGCCUACCAAGGCGACGAUCAGUAGCUGGUCUGGGAGGAUGAUCAGCCACACUGGACUGAGACACGGUCCAGACUCCUACGGGAGGCAGCAGUGGGGAAUCUUGCGCAAUGGGGGCAACCCUGACGCAGCCAUACCGCGUGUGUGAUGAAGGUCUUCGGAUUGUAAAGCACUUUCAGUAGGGACGACGAUGACGGUACCUACAGAAGAAGUCACGGCUAACUUCGUGCCAGCAGCCGCCGUAA